GUGGAGGAGGGAGGGAAGCAUGUCCAGCUGCCCUUCGAAACCACAGGAAACCUGCCUGAAGAUGCCACAGUAGAGUGGGAAUAUUGUGAACAUGAAUCCAGGAAGGUCCACGUGUAUGAGAACGGCUCUGACCAGCCUGACAAACAGGACGAGGUUUACAGAGGCCGUACAUCAAUGAAUGAAGACCCUCUAAAAACUGGAGACCUCAGUCUGACACUCCAAGACCCCACAGAUGAAGACAGUGGGAGAUACAGAUGUGAAGUCAAGCAUGGCUGUCAAAUUCUCAGAAGGAAAAUGCUGUUUCUCAAAGGGAGAGUUCAGGUCCAGGAUCAAACAGGGGACAUCAGGAACAGAAGCAGCUCCAUUGAUCCGACUCCUCUGAUGGCUGAUCAAUCAGUUUGAUCUGUGUGUUUGGUUAAGAGUGACGUUACUGUGGAGAGUGUUGAUCAAUCAGAAGAUGAAGAAGAGUAUCAGGUUCACAGCUGAUCUGCAUGCUGGAAGUAUUUGGAAGAAAAACCUGGCUGACUGUUUGUGAAUGUUUAAGAACAAAUAGAAUUAUUCCACUGAUUCAUUGAUUAUUUAUUGGUUCCUCUCCUGCAGUUAUUUUAUCUGUCAGCCUCAUUGUUUCUGCAUUUUUUAAUACCAAGAAGCUUUUACUUAGUUUUAAAGUUACCACUUGCAUGUGGAAGGUCGUGAGUUCAGGUACAACAUGGGACAGUUUUCACAAUGACAUCUUUUUUUUUUUCUAUAUAGUGAUUACACAACAACUUUACACAGAGGUCUUUAUUUUUCCUCACACAGAAAACUGUGAACAUUUUCAUGUGUACUAAAAGCUUCCCUGCUGCAGAGGGACGGCUUUACUACACACUGUGAAUGUUCUCCAGCAGUGAUGGUGAAGAGCGUUUCCAUGACGUCAGAGUACCUGCUGUCUCAGGAACAGGACACGUGUGACCUGUUAAAGUAGCUGUUCAUGUAUUUAUUAUCCAUCUCACUUCCACUUUGUUAGUUGGCCUCUUUAUCACCAACUUUUUACCUCACAGUCGACCAAGUUCACCAUCAGGAACAGUCCCACUGGUAUUUCUCCAGAAAAAGUCUAGUCUAGUUAAUAUUAUGUUUAAAUUAACUAAGUAAUUAUUUAAUGUUGUACAUAUGUAUUUAAUUUAGGUAUUUUUGGUCUACAAUAUAACUGGAGAAAACUUUUUGGGAACUUUGGGGGAGUGAAAAUAAAUAUAGGGAAUGAAUUCACUGCACAGGCAUAUUACAUAUAUCCUAACCCAGUAGGCCUUUCUGUAAUAUGCCUGGCAGUAUCCAGCCUUCCUCCUCUCUGUCUCUCCGUCAGGAGGGGGAAGAGGAUGAUGAUGAUGACGAAGAGCUAGUUGAAUUUCCCCUUUGAUUCGUGACCUCAGUUUGCUUUUUAAAUACAGGCCUAAUCUUACAAACUCCUAAUCACAUAAAUACAGUCUACAUAAUGUCUCCAAUCUCAAAGUAAACCCAUUAUAGGCCACGUCUUACUUUACAGUUAACACUGUAUUCUUUAUUAUUUAUUACAUCUAAAAAUGUUCUAGUCCUGUUCAGCUGUAGACGUCAGUAAGUAAAGUAAGUAAAAUUUUAUUUAUAUAGCACCUUUCAAGAUAAAAA